UUUAAUAUGGCAGAAAUCCAGUGCAAUGAAUUUAAAUCUCAUAAAUAAAGAUAAAUCUUUUAUUAAAA
rnacentral:tRNA from 1 species